CAGCAGCCACGGGAAUACGUAGGGUGCGAGCGUUAAUCGGAAUUACUGGGCGUAAAGCGUGCGCAGGCGGUUGUGUAAGACAGGUGUGAAAUCCCCGGGCUUAACCUGGGAACUGCGCUUGUGACUGCACAGCUAGAGUAUGGCAGAGGGGGGUGGAAUUCCACGUGUAGCAGUGAAAUGCGUAGAGAUGUGGAGGAACACCGAUGGCGAAGGCAGCCCCCUGGGCCAAUACUGACGCUCAUGCACGAAAGCGUGGGGAGCAAACAGGAUUAGAUACCCGCGUAGUCCCUGUCUCUUAUAA
rnacentral:rRNA from 1 species